UUUGUUGCAUCGAUUGUCUAAGCUCAACAACAGGGAUGCAACCUUUCGCAUAACGAGUUGCAUCGAAUCGGCAAAUUGAUUGUUCACCUAUAUCCUUGAUUUAAUUGAUCAGGAAUAUCAUCGUGCCGUUCACCAGGUCGAGUAAGGCAAUCAAUUUGAUCGGCAAUUGCUUUACCAAAAACGAUGAUUUCUAAUAAACUGUUAGCUCCAAGUCUAUUGGCACCAUGAACAGAUGCACAUGCAGUUUCACCAGCUGCCCAUAAUCCAUCUAUUAUACUAUCUUCUUCGUUUUCGCGUGUUAAUACCUGUUUUAAAUAAGUCCAUCAUAGAUAUUUUUCAUUUAUAUGUUUCGAACUUUAUCUAAACUUCAUUAAAUCGUUUAAAUAAAUUCUAACUUGAGCUCGCCAAUUCGUAGGUAUGCCACCCAUAUUGUAAUGGACUGUUGGUAUAACCGGUAUGGAAUCUUUCGUAAUGUCAACGCCAGAAAAUACCCACGCCAAAUGCGAGAUACCUGGUAACUUGCUUUGUAUCGUUUCAAUCGGUAAAUGACUUAGUUGAAGAUACACAUGAUCUUUCUUUGGACCUACACCUCUACGUAAAAGAAGAACAUAAAUGAAGAAAGAAAGAAAAUUUGUGUUCCACGUAAAAAUAGAUGAGAAUCACCUUCCUUCGAUUAUCUCUAUGGUAAUAGCUCUAGAAACGACGUCGCGCGAUGCUAAAUCCUUAGCUAUUGGGGCAUAUUUUUCCAUGAAAAAUUCACCUUGAGAGUUUACUAAUUUACCACCUUCGCCUCUACUACCUUCCGUUAUUAAUAUUCCGGUUCCAUACAUUCCUAUCAUACAAAAAAAAAAAGAAAAAAAAAAAUUAAUUAACAUUAUUUAAUGUAUAAUUUAUUUCGAGACGAUUAUUAUAAUUUUUAGUAACAAUAUCUACCUGUAGGAUGAAACUGUAUAAAUUCCAUAUCCUGUAGUGGUAAUCCUGCUCUAGAGAUCAUAGCCAUACCAUCACCAGUGCAAGUAUGUGCACCUGUGCAUGAUAAAUAACAUCUACCAGCACCACCUGAAGCUAUCACCUCAGGUAUGCAAAACGUAAAUUCGUAUUAAUAAUAUUCAUUGGUAAAAAGAAGAAACAAGAAAAAAGAAAAAAAAGAAAAAAAGAAAAGAAGAAGAUGAGUCUAACGAAUGAAACAAGUACCGUGUGAUGAGCUCUAAAACGAUGAAGUAUUCCCGUUUCCAGUUCCCAAGCAAGAAUUCCUUUGCAACAUCGACCGUGCAUUAGAAGAUCAAGUGCAAAGUAUUCGAUGUAAUAAUGAACGUCGUAUCGAAGGCUUUGACCGUAUAAAGUAUGGAGAACGGCGUGUCCAGUUCUAUCCGCUACGGCACAAGUUCGACGUGCUUGGCCACCUUUUCCAAAUUUUAACGAUUGUCCACCGAAUGCACGUUGAUAAAUUUUGCCAGAGUCGUUACGACUGAAUGGACAUCCUAGAGGAACAUAGGAGAAUAAUUUUGUUAUAGUAAUUUAUAAUAUAUUUAACAGAUUGCAGACGUUAUCAGAUUUUUUAUUACGUAUUAGCUAAAAGUAUCGAUCUUAAUUAGUAUAACAAUAAUUGAUAUUUUCAAUGAAUUAUUUAAACAAUCUAAAUAUACGUACUUCAAUAUAAUUAAGUAUGCAUGCUUUAAUAUAUUAAGUAUAUAUAACGAAGGAAAUGUCUGCAAUGUGUUUGAUGAAAAAGAAAAAAUAGAAAAAGUUGUUCUUGAAAAAACCAUAAUUUUCUAGCUCAAAAACUGCACGAGGUGCUUCUCUCGCAAGAUAGUGUAUAGCAUCCUGAUCUCCUAGCCAAUCAGAUCCUUUGACAGUGUCGUACAUAUGAUAAAGCCAACUGUCCUCGUGUUCGCUAGCUAUCGCAGCAUUUAAACCACCUUGAGCAGCUACUGUGUGCGAUCUCGUUGGAAAGAGUUUACUUAUUACCGCGACACGGUAUCCUUUACUUCCUAAACCAAAUGCCGCUCUUAGACCUGCACCACCUGCUCCUAAUAUCACCACGUCAUAACAGUGAUCUAUUACUGGGUAAUCCUGUGAAUUAAUAAAAUCGUGAAUUAAUUUAUUUAUUUGUUUUGAGAAUCAGUAUAAUUUAUUCAGUUGAGUCAAUAUAAAAGAACAUAUUUAAUUAAUUUUUUUUUCACAUUCUUUCCAGUAGUUUAGAGUUGAGUAAUAAAUCAAUUCUUAACUAAUAACAUUAUUUAUUUAUGGAAUCAACGCAAUCGACUCAUCUUUAUCAGCUGAUCACUUACAUUUCCAUUUGACUGGACACCACAUUUUGCUUUCUCAGAUGGGCUGACAUUAACAUGAAAUUUUUUGUCAUUUAUUUUCCAUGAUGACUUCGACCACUGAUUGUGAGAAAGAAGAUUAAAUAUAAUUAUAUUACAUAUCGAGCUAACAUUUUCAUGGAAUACAGAAUCUUUUUUCUGAUAUAGUCGAUAACCUUAAUUCUAUGUUGUUAUUUUCAUUUGUUAAUAUUAACAAAGAAAAUACGAGAAAGGGAUUUCGUUGUAAAUUAAGGUAUAGUUUAUUAUGUUACUUUCGAAAAAUUGUAUAAACAAUUAGGAAUGAGAUUGAAAAAGUGCUAUAAAUAAAAAUACGAUUUUCAAACUCAAAAUAUUAAAUAAUCAAAUAAAAUAUAAUAAUAAGAUAACGAAAUAAUGAAGCAUAAUUUUAUUGCAU